rnacentral:ncRNA from 1 species
UUAUAAAUUAUUAAUUAGUUUGAUUCUGAUUAAAAAAUUAAUUUUUUGGAGUAUAUACAUGUAAAUUUUUAAUUUAUAAAUUUUUAUAUUGCAGUAUUUUAUUUUAAAUAUAAAGUUAUUUUUGAUUUGGUUAUUCAUUAUAAUAUUGUAAAUGUUUGUGCCAGCAUACGCGGUUAUACAAUAAAUAUGAAUUAAUAAUUUUGGUUUUAAAGUUAAAAUUUUUAAUGAAUUUAAUUUUUUAAUUUUUAGGUGAAAUUUAAAUUUUAAUUAAGUUUAUGUUGAUUCUUUGAAAUUUAUAAUUUAAACUAGGAUUAGAUACCCUAUUAUAAUAUAUUUUAAUAAAUUAACCUGGGUAGUAAUAGUUAUGUUCUUUAAACUUUAAGAAUUUGGCGGUAUUUUAGUCUAUUUAGAGGAAUUUGUCCCGUAAUCGAUAAUCCCCGUUUUAUCUUUCUUAAUUUUGUUAUCAGUAUGUAUACCGCCGUUAAAAGUUUAUUUUAUUAGAUUAUUAAUUUACUUAAUUCUUUAUUUUGAAUUAUUUCAGGUCAAGGUGCAGCCAAUAAUUAAGUGGUGAUGAAUUACAUUAUUUUUGAAUAUAUGGAUUUUAUUUUUAAAAAUAGUAUGAAAGUGGAUUUAAUUGUAAUUUUAUCUAUAGAUAUAAUAUGAUUUUAGCUCUAAAAUAAGUACAUAUUGCCCGUCACUCUCAAUUUAUUUGAGAUAAGUCGUAACAUAGUAGGUGUACUGGAAAGUGUACCUAGUAUUAUUUU